rnacentral:rRNA from 1 species
GCGUAAGCGCACGCAGGCGGUCUGUUAAGUCAGAUGUGAAAUCCCCGGGCUUAACCUGGGAACUGCAUUUGAAACUGGCAGGCUUGAGUCUCGUAGAGGGGGGUAGAAUUCCAGGUGUAGCGGUGAAAUGCGUAGAGAUCUGGAGGAAUACCGGUGGCGAAGGCGGCCCCCUGGACGAAGACUGACGCUCAGGUGCGAAAGCGUGGGGAGCAAACAGGAUUAGAUACCCUGGUAGUCCACGCCGUAAACGAUGUCGACUUGGAGGUUGUGCCCUUGAGGCGUGGCUUCCGGAGCUAACGCGUUAAGUCGACCGCCUGGGGAGUACGGCCGCAAGGUUAAAACUCAAAUGAAUUGACGGGGGCCCGCACAAGCGGUGGAGCAUGUGGUUUAAUUCGAUGCAACGCGAAGAACCUUACCUGGCCUUGACAUCCAGAGAACUUAGCAGAGAUGCUUUGGUGCCUUCGGGAACUCUGAGACAGGUGCUGCAUGGCUGUCGUCAGCUCGUGUU